ACUCUAGUUCGACUUUGUGAAAUGACUUUAGGGGGGGUGGGGGUGUAGGAUAACUAGAAACGACGAAAGUGAAAUACCACUACUUUUAAUGUUAUUUUUACUUAUUCCAUGUGUUAGAGAGGUAGGGAGCAUCCCCUCAUUUUGGACCCAAGGCACAUCCAUGCGCGUCGAUCCUGGUGAAAGACAUUGUUAGGUAGAGAGU
rnacentral:ncRNA from 1 species